rnacentral:rRNA from 1 species
GAUGAACGCUGGCGGCGUGCCUAAUACAUGCAAGUCGAGCGAACGGACGAGAAGCUUGCUUCUCUGAUGUUAGCGGCGGACGGGUGAGUAACACGUGGAUAACCUACCUAUAAGACUGGGAUAACUUCGGGAAACCGUAGCUAAUACCGGAUAAUAUUUUGAACCGCAUGGUUCAAAAGUGAAAGACGGUCUUGCUGUCACUUAUAGAUGGAUCCGCGCUGCAUUAGCUAGUUGGUAAGGUAACGGCUUACCAAGGCAACGAUGCAUAGCCGACCUGAGAGGGUGAUCGGCCACACUGGAACUGAGACACGGCCCAGACUCCGACGGGAGGCAGCAGUAGGGAAUCUUCCGCAAUGGGCGAAAGCCUGACGGAGCAACGCCGCGUGAGUGAUGAAGGUCUUCGGAUCGUAAAACUCUGUUAUUAGGGAAGAACAUAUGUGUAAGUAACUGUGCACAUCUUGACGGUACCUAAUCAGAAAGCCACGGCUAACUACGUG